GCCUCGUUAGCGCAGUAGGUAGCGCAUCAGUCUCAUAAUCUGAAGGUCGUGAGUUCGAUUCUCACACGGGCAAGGCA